rnacentral:lncRNA from 1 species
GCAUUAGUGGUGCUCCCUGAAUGACUUAUUUCUAGUCUCUGAUCUCAGAGCUCUGAAAAUUUAUCUAUCUGUACUUCCCUUAGGAUUCCUGUCAGUCCCUUGGCUUGUGAAGAACAAAGGCUUUACAAUGGCCUCCUGCUGUAUUUGCUUCAGCAUUAUGAGUUGCUUUUUGUUGAUGUGAACCCUUGUUUCUCACCAAGACAAGCAGAUGGCCUCCAGGCGCGCAUCGUGUGAAAAGUUGAGCAACUCGUGAAAGCUGCUGCUGAUGGAACACCGAGCUGGUAUGAUCAAGAUAAUCAAUAUGCUUCAAGAUAUGCUUGGAAUGAGAAACACUUCUAAGAUUCAAGACAAAGUUUCAAGUUCAAUGCUGUUUUUGAAGAGGACCAAUGCUUAAGCUUUUUGUUUACUACAGGCCUCUCUCACUUCAACUCUGAAAUAAAUGAAUACUGACAGCAAGCUUGAAAAGGAGCUGGACGCGAUCAGUGACAGAUCAGUGACAGGAGGCGUUUUCUGAGAAUAAGGAUUCUGCUGGGCAGCGAGACGAGCCGUCACCGAACCGCUUCUUCUACCGGAGAACGUCGCAACGCAUCCCGUACCCUCGGCAGGAUCUCUUGCCUCACUCAGUGCAUUCGGAUGUCCCUUCUUUUCUCAUCUGAUGCCAUCCAUGGCUGUGAAAAAUAUAUCUGUAACAGCGUGCAAUAAAACCAUUCACAGUUCUACCAUCACUGGAAACGAAAAUGAGCAUAGUCCAACUGUCAGGAUUUUAAUUGAAGAACAAAACCACUACAUAAAGUGCAUUUCAUCACUGAAGUCUUUACGGAGUACCCAUGUCCUUAACUGGAGAUCACUGAAAUCUCACCGAAAGCAUUCCCACCGAUUGAUGUGACACGUGAACGUAACCCUAAGCAACACCGUACAGAACUGUUUGUAAAGCUCCGCUUCAAGUCUCACUGGCUGGCAAUUUUCUCAUGUGCAUCAUUAACCCAUUUGGGCAUUUGUCGCAUCACCACUCCCGUAUUUCCAUUGCCGCCUUCAGUCACGUUUUCUCCGUCAGGCACAAAGUUUUUACAGGUUUAACAAAUUAUUAUUAUUGUUGUUGUUGUUGUUGUUGUUGUUAUUUGACGAGGGGAGAGGGAAAGCAGAGCAGAGACAGCACACAUUUUCCGGAGCCCCUGGAAAAUGAUAGGGCUGGGGACGUGCUUCGGAAGGGUGUCGUGUGAGAUGCAAAGGGAUCCGUUUGAAUUGGGCACAAUUAUUGAACUUAUUAAUGAAUCCCACAGUGAGGUGAGGAGAAGCACAUAACAAACUUUAAUUGAAAGCGCAGUGUAAGUCCCUGAUUCAGAUCUAGAGUCCACAUGGCUAACUGUCAGAGCCCCCGGCCGGCGCUAACGAGGCAACGACUCUCAGGUGUCGCGGGGCCGCGCCCGCCCGGGCACAGCUGCGCCUCGUCCGCAGCCCGGGGCGGGUCCGCCCCAAAGCCUUUUAAGCUCCGCCGGAGGCCGCCGGGAGCCACGAAAGAGCUGCUGGAGUUCAUUCCUCGUGGGAACUGGAGUGGGCUGCGAUGCUUCGUCCGGUCCUGGUGCCGCUGGGUGCUGCUUUUCAAGCUGAGCGAAGGCUGCAGCGGAGCCUCUCGUCAGUCCGAACCGGAGCGUGAUCUCGUUCCCAUCGUGGAGAUGCAGCGGAAUGGCUUGCGUGACUCGAAUGCUGUUGUGGAUGUUCUGUUCUCUUCAGGAGAGACAGACAGGUGAGAGGUGGCAGAGUUGCACUUCCACUGAGAGAACUGGAAUGCAUUGAGCUGUGCCUAGGGAUGCAUGAAGAACCAGGGGAGUGCUGGCGUGCGAGGCUCAGGAGACAGUAAAUGUGGGUAAUGUCACUGGGGGUGUUGGUUACAGAUGAGGAAGCUGAUAAGACUUCCUGCACACAGCUAAAAGUAACCUCAAGGUUGCAGGCAUUAGUUUUCACAGUAUACUCGAAGCACCCUGCCAGUUGUUGAUAAGGCAAUGCUGUCAGGUGUAUCUCAUUCCAGGAGGCUCCUGCAGGUAUCAAAGUUUCUGACACAGGUGAAGGAGGAGCCAAUGAGGAGAGAAAUGCUGGCGGAGCUCUUACUCUGUAUUGAGGAAGGACUGACUGGGGAUGCAAAGACCGAGGGGACCUGAAGUGCAGCAGCUGUGAGAUGGU